AUUCAAACAAGUAACAUCUCGUUCUUGAAAGCCAUUUCUACCUAGAAACCAGACAGGAUGUUGAGGAGGAAUUAUCUUCAAAUUAUUUUUCUCUUCUACAUCUCACUGACAUUUGGAAAUGGACUUGAAUAUCUGAAGUAUUUUAUGAAAGUACCAAACUGUGCUCUGAAAGACGGUAAAACAUUGAUGACACUUGAUCUGGAUGCCUUCCACUGUUCGAAGAGUUGUUUUGAAACUUCUGCAUGUAAAUCCUUUGUGAGCAG